rnacentral:rRNA from 1 species
UACGUAGGGUGCAAGCGUUGUCCGGAAUUAUUGGGCGUAAAGAGCUCGUAGGCGGUCUGUCGCGCGGCUGUGAAAGCCCGGAGCUCAACUCCGGGUCUGCAGUCGAUACGGGCAGACUUGAGUGUUGCAGGGGAGACUGGAAUUCCUGGUGUAGCGGUGAAAUGCGCAGAUAUCAGGAGGAACACCGGUGGCGAAGGCGGGUCUCUGGGCAACAACUGACGCUGAGGAGCGAAAGCGUGGGGGAGCGAACAGG